GCCUGGAUAGCUCAGCUGGUUAGAGUGUGGCACUGAUAACACUAAGGUUGCAGGUUCAAUCCUCGUAUGGGACA